UGGGGAAUAUUGGACAAUGGGCGAAAGCCUGAUCCAGCCAUGCCGCGUGUGUGAAGAAGGCCUUAUGGUUGUAAAGCACUUUAAGCGAGGAGGAGGGUACUGGUAUUAAUACUACCAGGUACUGGACGUUACUCGCAGAAUAAGCACCGGCUAACUCUGUGCCAGCAGCCGCGGUAAUACAGAGGGUGCAAGCGUUAAUCGGAAUUACUGGGCGUAAAGCGCGCGUAGGUGGUUCGUUAAGUUGAAUGUGAAAGCCCCGGGCUCAACCUGGGAACUGCAUCCAAAACUGGCGAGCUAGAGUAGGGCAGAGGGUGGUGGAAUUUCCUGUGUAGCGGUGAAAUGCGUAGAGAUAGGAAGGAACACCAGUGGCGAAGGCGACCACCUGGGCUCAUACUGACACUGAGGUGCGAAAGCGUGGGGAGCAAACAGG
rnacentral:rRNA from 1 species